rnacentral:lncRNA from 1 species
GACUCAGGCAUGCACUAUCGUGCCCAGCGAAACUGCUCUUUUAGAUUCCUGAGUUAAAUGAAUAUUACUGUCAAAGACUCCAUAUUGCUUCAGAGCAGAUCUUUACUACAAGGUCAGAGUUGAAACUGGGCAGCGCUGGUCAGAAUUCCUCUUAGAUGCAUCUUGGGUCCCUCACUCAACUCUCAGCGAACAUGGUUUCCUCACUCCAAGUGGGACAAGGGCAAGGAAGGGGUGGUUUCCAAACGAAAGCAGAUGCUGCAGUCAAUUCCAGGGUCAUUUAUAAACAUCUGCACCCUUACUAACCUACAUGCUUAUUUGUGAUCUACUCAUGUCAAUCCCUCAGUUGGUAAUCCACGAACCCUUACUGCCACAGUGAACUUCAUUUCCGUCUUCUGCAGUAGGAAACAGAGAUCGAAUGGGAAACUGUCCCACUGUCCUUCCAACAAAAGAAAACCAGCCAUUAUAAAGCUAAGGAGUGCUAGGCAUGGUGACAAGCUGCGUUACUUCUCAUAAUAACUUCUUUUACUUAUUUAGCCAUGUCUGAGAUUGAACCCAGGGCUUUGUGCAUGCUAGGCAAGCACUCUACCACUGAGAUUCAUUCCCUACCCUUUUAAUGUUAUUUUUAAAAUUUUGAGACAGGGUAUAGUUAAAUUGCCCAGGCUGACCUCAGUUUUGUGAUCCUCCUGCCUCAAUCCCCCAAGCACCUGGGAUUACAGGCAUGUGCCACUACACACUGGCUCCCAUAAUUUCUGUAACCUUCCCCAAGCCAUUGUUUUGCCUGUAGAAAAAUGGAAACAAGUCGAAUGUGGUGGUGCACACCUGUAAUCCCAGCAAUUUGGGGAGGCUGAGGCCAGAGGAUCACAAAAUCAAGACCAGCUCACAAGUUCAAGACCAUCUGGGGAUGUAGCUCAGUGGUAAAGUGCCAGUACCGAUAAAUAAAUUAAGAAGUAGAAGAAGAAAAGAAAACCGAGAACAGCAGAGCAGACCUCCUACUUCUG